rnacentral:rRNA from 1 species
GAUCCUGGCUCAGAAUCAACGCUGGCGGCGUGCCUCAGACAUGCAAGUCGAACGAUUAAAGCUCUCUUCGGAGAGUGUAUAGAGUGGCGCACGGGUGAGUAACACGUAAGUAAUCUACCCUCGAGUGGGGAAUAACGUCCGGAAACGGACGCUAAUACCGCAUAAUGCAGCGGCACCGCAAGGUGACAGUUGUUAAAGAUUUAUCGCUUGAGGAGGAGCUUGCGGCAGAUUAGCUAGUUGGUAAGGUAAUGGCUUACCAAGGCUACGAUCUGUAACCGGUCUAAGAGGACGGUCGGUCACACUGACACUGAAUAACGGGUCAGACUCCUACGGGAGGCAGCAG